CCUGGGCUCCACCCUUCUGUCCCUGAGUUUCAUGUUGUUAGAAUGGUCACCAGGUGGCGCCGCAGGCUCGCUGUUUGGGCCUCGGAGUGUUCAGGGCUUCGCCCCUGGUCAGGAUCUGUGUCAGGCUGCGACGCAUCUGCCAGAGUGCUCUGGAGUGCUGUUGGGAGUGAGUGGCACAUUUUCUGAUGUGCUUGGAGCCUGGGGCACGAUGUCAGGAGGAGCUGCUUAUCUCUAACCGGAAUAGAACAGCCAGCUGUGGCAGUUGCCAGGUGGCAGGUCUUUCAAGGACGGCCCCUUGACUUAUGGCUCCCAACACCCACCCUUCCUUCUGCCUUCUCUUCCACAUAGAUUCCUGAGCCCUGAGGGAAGGUGUUUGAUGACAUCUCAGUAAAGACUGAGUGUUCCAGAACCUUUCACUCUCCGCAUUGACCAGAUGUGGUUCUCUGAGUUCCUUCCCAACUUUUGCAAAAGGAAGCUUCCCAGAUGAUGGCUAAGCAAAGGCACUGAUCUGAGUCACAGCCCAGUGUGUCUGACUUCUACUUAGAAAAAAAAAAGUAAAGCAUAAACAAAUAAACCUACCCCAAACACCUCA
rnacentral:lncRNA from 1 species